UACGAAGGGGGCUAGCGUUGCUCGGAAUUACUGGGCGUAAAGCGCACGUAGGCGGAUCUUUAAGUCAGGGGUGAAAUCCUGGAGCUCAACUCCAGAACUGCCUUUGAUACUGAGGACCUUGAGUUCGGGAGAGGUGAGUGGAACUGCGAGUGUAGAGGUGAAAUUCGUAGAUAUUCGCAAGAACACCAGUGGCGAAGGCGGCUCACUGGCCCGAUACUGACGCUGAGGUGCGAAAGCGUGAGGAGCAAACAGG
rnacentral:rRNA from 1 species